rnacentral:lncRNA from 1 species
GCCACAGGGGAACGAGUGCGCGCGCGCCUUAAAGGGGCAGGCACCGCGGGCCGGUCGCCCUGCUUGCCGAGCAGGCUUCCCGCUGAGCCCGAGGCCGUGUGAACCCUGCGGCGGCCUUUUACCGUGACGAGGUUUCACUGGGGUCGCCCCUUGCCCCAGUGCCUCCGCCCGCCCGCGGGCCUCUCCGCGCUGGGCGGCCUCGGGCGGCCUCCUCGAGCCGCGGGUACGGGAAGAUCCUCGGGGAAGGCGGAACUGUGAGCGGCCCGGGCAAAACGCACUUCCCUGCUCUCCUAGUCCCCCUCUGUACAUGGGCGUGCUGGGUCCUGCACACCAACAGGCCAGUUCAAAGCUUUAUUCUUGAAGAGGUUGUUACGCAAACAUUACACAGAAAGUGCGAUUACAAUAACCGGUACUUCAGAUAAACCCGCUCAAGCUGAUGGAGCAGUUUCCGAAGAAAGCAGAUGACAAACAGCACUGCGGAGAACGGAAAGGAGAAAGCCCUGUCUUCCCCAAACGGUAUCUUGUUUGCUUUGCGGUGGGGCGCUGACGCUUUUGUCUUUACAGGGGAAGAGGAAAAGGAGACGUGCGGUCAUUAGGGCGAGGCUGGAGUUUAGGGUAAGAACAAUCACGUCAGUUCUUACCUAUCGCACUCCCUACCGAAGCGUGUUUUGAAAUUACAGGCGUUUAACGCCUGUAAUAAUAAAUAAAAAAAAUAAAUAUAAUAAAAAGCA